rnacentral:misc_RNA from 1 species
GGGAGACGAUUCGCUGCCCCUCUCAUCUCCUCCCAACCGAUCACCGCCAUGCGAUCCUCUCUUAUUGCUGAGGAGCAGGCGCCUCUCGGAAUACGUUCUAUUUCAACUCAAGUUGUCAGAAAUAGAAUGAAGAGUGUCAAAAAUAUUCAGAAAAUUACAAAGGCCAUGAAGAUGGUUGCAGCCUCAAAGUUACGUGCAAUUCAAACU